UAAACUUAUCAAAGUCCAAACCACUUCGUGCACAACCGUUGGAGCUCAAUUACUGAAGUCUUCUGGCCACCAUUCGAUCCCCUCCGAACUCCUCGACUCGCAGCUCAGGACCACCCGAAGUGGUCAACCAAGCACAUCGUCUCCUCUCCUCGGGGUACCUCCUGGCCUUGGACCCCUGCUUGUGGUCCGUUCCUCACCCAGCUUACAGCAUCACGUCCUCUCUUUCUCACCCCCUCGCACUGAUCUCUCCAAAAGCCCGCCAACAAUAACUUACAGACUCAGAAGAAAGAACAACAUUAAUCCCAAUUGGUUUACAAAGGAAUACAAUUCUCGUUGUCAGUAAAUUUUAACCCAAACAGGCUUCCAGCACUCUCUCGCAACAAAGAGAGGGAAGUGCCUGGUGUGAAAAGUGCUAGUGUUUGGCUCGAGAGUCUUCGGCGAGGAGACUACGCCAGGCACAAUUGGAGAGGGUGAAGACAUGACCGCUAAGCUGAUUCAGUGUGCUACGUGCAUGAUGUGGGAGGUCAGGGACACUGAUGGUGCCCCCGGCUGCUACAGCUGUGGAAAGUGUGUCCAGAUUCAGCUUCUGAAGGAGCAUGUUGCAGCACUGAAGAAAGAACUGGAUGACCUCAGGUUUAUCCGUGAAAACGAGGGUUUUCUGGACAGGACCUACAGUGAGGUCGUUACACCGAGGAUACCGGAAGAGAGAAAGGGGGCGACGAUGAGGAAGGAAAGGAUGCUUGAAGUACAGGAGACCCCAGGGGAUGUACCUCUCGUAAACAGGUUCACCUUCUUGGAAGCUGUCAGGACAGAAGAUACUGCCAGUCUGAGAGGCGGACAGGUCUGCGAGCCAAAAAUUGGUGCAGAAGCAGAGCCGAGGAGUCAGACAUCAGGAAGAGCCGUGGUAGUAGGGGACUCCAUAGUAAGAGGUACUGAAAGGGGUUUCUGCAGCAACAGGCGAGGUUUAAGGAUGGUGUGUUGCCUCCCUGGUGCUAGGAUCCAGGACAUCACGGACCGAUUGCAGGGAAUCCUUAAGGGUGAAGGUGAACAGCCGGAAGUGGUAGUGCAUGUCGGCAUAAAUGACAUUGGGAAGAAGAGGAAGGACAUUCUGCAACGGGACUUCAGAGAACUCGGAAGAAGGCUGAAAAAAAUAUAGAUAUCAAUGGAAGAAAGCAGACAAGGAACCAUCAGUUCUAUAAUGGGCAUAUUGUUGACUUUUAUUCUGUUUCGACCAAGAGCAACCAUGAAGAAGAUCUCCAGCAAUUUCACACAGAAACUUGAUUCUUCGUGUUUAGCAACUGAAGAUCAGCUUAUGAGACUGGUGAAUUCAUCUCAUCCCAAGAUUCAUUCUGAUGAAUGUUUGUUUCUGAGGUACAUUGGCCCUGAAAACCUUAGUUCCCAGUGCCUACUGGCUGAGCUCUGUUAAGACUACAACGGAGACAACAUUGACUCCAGCAGGAAAGAAAAUCAGACAGGCUUCCUGCUCCUAAUGGUAUGUGCAAUCACUUUUGGCAACUUGUGGUAUCC